UGGCGGCAUGCUUAACACAUGCAAGUCGAACGAGACCUUCGGGUCUAGUGGCGCACGGGUGCGUAACGCGUGGGAAUCUGCCCUUUGCUACGGAAUAACUCAGAGAAAUUUGUGCUAAUACCGUAUAAUGUCGUAAGACCAAAGAUUUAUCGGCAAAGGAUGAGCCCGCGUAAGAUUAGCUAGUUGGUGAGGUAAUGGCUCACCAAGGCUACGACGGGUAGGGGGUGUGAGAGCACGACCCCCCACAAGGACACUGAGACACGGGUCCUACACCUACGGGUGGCAGCAACUGGGAAUCUUGCGCAAUGGACGAAAGUCUGACGCAGCGACGCCGCGUGUGGGAAGAAGGCCUUCGGGUCGUAAACCAC
rnacentral:rRNA from 1 species